AGUGAACGCUGGCGGUAGGCCUAACACAUGCAAGUCGAACGGCAGCACAGUAAGAGCUUGCUCUUACGGGUGGCGAGUGGCGGACGGGUGAGGAAUACAUCGGAAUCUACUUUUUCGUGGGGGAUAACGUAGGGAAACUUACGCUAAUACCGCAUACGACCUACGGGUGAAAGCAGGGGAUCUUCGGACCUUGCGCGAUUGAAUGAGCCGAUGUCGGAUUAGCUAGUUGGCGGGGUAAAGGCCCACCAAGGCGACGAUCCGUAGCUGGUCUGAGAGGCUGAUCAGCCACACUGGAACGGGAACACGGUCCAGACGCCUACGGGAGGCAGCAGUGGGGAAUAUUGGACAAUGGGCGCAAGCCUGAUCCAGCCAUACCGCGUGGGUGAAGAAGGCCUUCGGGUUGUAAAGCCCUUUUGUUGGGAAAGAAAAGCAGCAGGUUAAUACCCCGCUGUUCUGACGGUACCCAAAGAAUAAGCACCGGCUAACUUCGUG
rnacentral:rRNA from 1 species